UACAGGGGGUGCAAACGUUGCUCGGAAUCAUUGGGCGUAAAGCGCACGUAGGCGGUUCGUUAUGUCGGAUGUGAAAGCCCUUGGCUUAACCGAGGAAGUGCAUCCGAAACUGGCGAGCUAGAGUACGAAAGAGGAUCGCGGAAUUCCCGGUGUAGAGGUGAAAUUCGUAGAUAUUGGGAAGAACACCGGUGGCGAAGGCGGCGACCUGGUCCGAUACUGACGCUGAGGCGCGAAAGCGUGGGGAGCGAACAGG
rnacentral:rRNA from 1 species